rnacentral:sRNA from 1 species
AUACACCCCAAAGAACUGAAAACAAGAACUCAAACAGAUACUUGUACACCUAUGUUCAUAGCAGCCUUAUUCACAUGGACAAAAGAUGAAGUUUCAUUCUUGUCGCCCAGGCUGGAGUGCAGUGGCGCGUUCUCAGCUCACUGCAACCUCCGCCUCCCCGGCUCAAGCGAUUCUCCUGUCUCAGCCUCCCAAGUAGCUGGAAAUACAGGUGUCCUGGGGAAGUGUCGCUACGUUUACUAUGGGAAAAACUCAGAGGGCAACAGGUUUAUCCGAGAUGACCAGCUCUGAAGCCAACUUCUGUAUACCUUCACCCAUUUCAUGAAAAUAAAAUCAAAAGGGAAAUCAAAAAUAAA